GUUUUAAUUUGGGAAACUGUAGCCUGUUGGUUUUGUUCCAUUUUUUGUAAUUGCUUACCUAUGGUAUGCAAAUGGGCAUUUGUAAAGUUAUUCUGUAGAACAAUAUUUUUUAUAUUUACAGAAUUGUUUUCGUUUGGAAUUUUGUAAUGGGAUGCUUCUACUGUUUGGUCUAAAUGGGGAAUUUUCAUCUUCCUAAGAGGAGAAUGUUCAGAUUGUAUUUUUCUACCAUCUAAAAUUUUCCAUUCGGGAGUUUUAUUUCUAACAGUGACAGGGUUUACAGACAAUUUUUCUUCUGUUUUCUUCAAAAGAGUUCUUAGAGCCGUAAUAAACUCUGAUUGGUUGUCUUCUAACUCCUGUUGUUUAGGUUUUGAAA
rnacentral:misc_RNA from 1 species